CCUUUUCUUGAGACCCAGAGCUCAUUGCUUGUCAGCUCUUUGUUCCUUAUCCACCACCCCUCAAGCUGAGGAACAGACACAGUGUGGGAUGUGAGGGUUGGGAGUGGGCAAAGUGAUAAUGAGUUUGAUUUUGAGAAUGUUGCCAUUGAGGCAGCUGGCACAUCCAGCUAGAGGAUAGUUCUGGAGUUAUCGGGAGAGAUCUGAACUAUUGAUCAAUGAAUGUGGGAAUCUUAUACAUAUUCGUAGUAUAUUUGUUAGGAAUUACAUUUAGUUACUAGAAGAAACUUUCUUGUCAAAGACCAGAAGGAACGGUGGCUUAAACCAGAUGGAAAUGUAUUGUGCUUCACAUUAGUGGGCUGGUGCGUUGGUAUCAUGGUAUUUUUCAGGGACCAAGGAACCGAUCUAUCUUUCUGCCUCACCAUUUUAGUAUGUAUCCUCCACCUUGGAUUUGUCUUAUAAUUGAAUAUCGCUGCUAGAGCACCAGGCAUCAUCUUUGCAUUCCAGACAGAAAGCAGGAAAAAAAGGUGGAAGGUUUUUUAAAAAAGAAAAGUGCUUAUGCCUACAGCUGUCUACCUUCUUUUUAAGUCCUACCUGAUAACUUCUAUGUACACAUUGUAAGGGAAAUGGCUGCACUUUAGUCAGGAAUAGGCUGAGGCAGCCUUCUGGCACAGCAUGAUUCACUGGGUUUGGAGCACAGGUGCACUCUCAAAACACUCUCAUAAAAAACACCUGGGGCUUCCUGCGAGCUGGCCUGGGCUUUCGUUACUGCCUCCCCUGCUCAUGAUGGGUAUUUACAUAUCCUUAGACCCUCAGCUAGAACAAGCUGCACCUGAGAUCAGUCUCCAGUGGCGUUUUGGUCCGGGAAAGGCCCUGACCUGUGGCCACACAUUAUGUAACCAUGCCACGUGAAGUGCAUUAGGUGAUCACUCACAUGAGUCUGUGCCUGGCUUAGAGACACUGUUGUCUACAAAAGGUAUAAUUACCCUGCUAGCGGCUAUACAUAGGGCUUGUGCCCAGAAAGAGGAUAAAGCCAUAUCAAAACUCCCUACGAUUCCUGUAGUGUUUUUCCAGCUACUCCCCCACCGACUCCCCUCGGACCUCAGUUUGGGAUAGAACCUGACAAUUGGUGUCAUGAACAGGAUCCUGAGAUUUAGAAGCAGUGGCGUCCCUCUUGCGGCAACAUUUAGCAGCAUGUGGUUGGGCCGUCAACGAAUCCAAGGUCCAAGGUCCUGGAUUAUCUGCCAGAUUCUUGGGAGUUAUCUGGUCAGCUUUACAGAAAGAAUUCAGGAAAAGGAGAAAGCCUCUCUUACACCAAUCCCGCCAGUCUAUGUUGGUGGCAGAGAUGGCUCCAGUUAGUAGUUGCUGCCUAGGAGAUGAAGUGAAUUUCACAAGAAAGACAUAAGAAGCCAACAACUGCUAUUACCCCUGUAUGCACACAAGUUGAACCUAACGGCAUUAAAAGAAAAGUUGGAGACAUCCCAUCUACACAACACAGCCCAAAUGAUCAGCUGCAUUCCUGCAGAGCCAUCUCUUCAGUAUAUACAAAUGAAGGAGAUGAGCAGUAUUAUUUUAUUACCACAUUCACAAAAGGGACAAGCUGUGAAAUGCCUAGAUUCCAGAGCAACAGACUGUGAUCCAUUCCCAACAACCCCUCCCUACCGUCUGCCACCAGUUCCCUUAAAGCAGGAAUCAGAGCUAGACUGACUCAACUAAGAAUUGUUUUGGAGAACUUGGAACUCAACAUUCCAUAAAGCAAGAAGCUUGACAUAGCAUCGAUGAGCCCAAGUCAACUAUAUGAACAAAACAAUGUCUCAGGAGGGGCAGGGUAUCACGUCAGAAGAAUCCUGAGUCCUUAGAUGACCUUGUAGAAAAGAGCCACAAACUUACUCUGGGCUACCUUCAUACCUCUGAACUAUUAUGCAGAGAGAAAUAAAUGUAUUCAAAUCAC
rnacentral:lncRNA from 1 species